AAGUCGUAACAAGGUCUCCGUAGGUGAACCUGCGGAGGGAUCAUUAACAAAUAUAAAUAGAACGUUUCGAUCUAAGAUUAACUCUUUAGUAUUCUUAUUUCGAUUCCAAUAUUUUUACACACUGUGCGAACUGCUUAUCAAUCGACCAAAUUAGCUUAGGCCAAUUUGGCAAUAAUAAUUUGUUUUCGUUUCGUUUCGUUUUCUCUUUGAGAGGCGAAGCUAAGCCAAGCGAAUUAUUUCUUUUUUUCAAAAAACAAAUUUCACAUUCAAUUUAAUUUGCAAAACAACUUUCUUUUACUUUUCCUUAAAACGAAAAUCAAAAAGAGAAAAAGUUAAUAAAAAAAAUUAAUUUAAAAAGCACAACUCUUAGCAACGGAUAUCUUGGUUCUC
rnacentral:misc_RNA from 1 species